rnacentral:misc_RNA from 1 species
AAAUAUGCCUCGAACCUAUCUCCCUUCUUCUGGAUCUGGGAAGAGUAGAACAAAUGUAGGAGGAGAUGGGUUAGGUUGGAGACCAAGUACUCAGAUUGAUGACUCUGACGAAGAAGAAGAACCUGUUCGGUUGAAAAAUAGAAGAAAGCGUCCACCUCUGCUGCCCUCAAGCCAGAUAGUAUCUCCAGUAUUCAACCCUGGAAUGGAAGAUGAUCCGUUCGAUCAGUUGUUCCAGAAUAUGAACACAGAGAAGAUCAAAGCGCCAGGACGGGAUCCUCUCUCCUUCUCUUCAGCAAACACUACAGCUCAAUCAAACCACUCAGAGAACGGAUUUGGUUUGUUCCAAUCUUUCUCAGAUGAACCAGUCCUGGUUCAAAAGAAGAAACCGACCCGGAGUUACAAAUCCGGUAAGACUAAAAAACAGGAACUAAAAGAGAAGACGGAGAAGGAAAACAGAAUUCUAACUCCACCGCAUUCUGCCACACUUCUCCGAGGUCUUAAGUUCUCCACAAAUAUUUCCUCUCUACAGAACCUAAAUAGUCCUUCCAUUAACACCCAAACAUCGGAUUCAGUAUUCUCUCCUCAAGUCAGCAAUAAAACAUCGCCAAAUAAUUUGGUUUUUCCAAGUGCUUCUAAAAGUAGUAUCCGAGCCAGAACCCCACAGACUAUAAGUUCUCCUGAUCUCUUCUUCCAGACUCCAGGACCACAAAAAACCAUUUUAUGUGUUACUUCUACUCCACUCGUGGGAUCUGUCGGGCCACAGGAUAUUUCGCUCAGUCCCUCCGACCCAAACCCAGAGAAAAGCAUUGAAAUUAUAUUUCUGGAAAGCCCUGAUACUAUCUCUGGAAAAAGCAAAACGUUGGACAAAGAUGAAGAUGCAAAGACUAAUAAAUCUUCUUCUGGUGAAGAUGUUUUUAUUUCUGUCUCCGAGUCCUCUCCGGGUAAGCUUGCAGUAGUCCCAGCUCCCAGAGCAAAGAUCUUAUCUUCUAACGAAAUUAUCUCUGCUACCCCAGACAAAAUGGUUACCAUGGAGAGAGGACGGAAAAAGUUUGCAGGACCUGCUCUAAGUAUGAUGGGACACUUCAAAUGGAAGGUUACAAUGAAAUCUGUAAAUAUGCUCUCAGAACUUAAUGAGAUGAGUCUAAAUUCAGAUACAGGUCCUGCGUCUUGUGAGAAAAAGAUAAUUCGUCCUUCCUCCUUCAAUAAAACAGAAUCUUCAAGAUUAGGUUUAAAAUCUGUGAGCACCAGAUCAACCCGAAAUCAAUUGGAGGAUCAAUCAGUUUCUAUCAGCAACUACUCACAGUCCUCUCAGACCGGGUCUAGAACAGGAAUGUCGACUAGGAGUCAAAACUCAAACUUUUCCGACACUAAAUCUAAACAAGAAGUUUCUGAAAACUUAAAUCCAGUUAAAGAUCAAUCAAAUGAAGACGUUUUUGAUGGAAGUAACCAUUCUCAGUCCUCUCAGACAGAAUGUAGAACAGGAGUUUCGACUAGAAGUCGAAACUCAAACUUUUCCGACACGAAAUCUAAACAAGAAGUUUCUGAAAACAGAAAUCCAGUUGAAGAUCAAUCAACUGAAGAUGUUUUUGAUGGAGGUAACCAUUCUCAGUCCUCUGAGACAGAAUGUAGAACAGGAGUUUCGACCAGGAGUCAAAACUCUAACUUUUCAGACACAAAAUCUCAACAAGAAGUUUCCAAAUCGGGCUCAAAUAUCUUAAUGACUAGAUCCGGAAGUAAAUUUUCUCUGGCAUCCUCUGAUACAUCAGUCGGGUUUGAAAAUUCUCAGCAGGUCGAACCUGAGCAGAGCUUUGAUUACAGGGAUGCAAUGGGGUGCGUGUGUGGAGAAGAUGAGAGAGGAGAUAAAACCCUAAUUAUGUGCGAUAGAUGUGGAUUAUAUUUACAUGCUGAUUGUGUAGGAUUUACUGAAGAAGAUCUUGACGAGAUUGAGAGAUUAAAUCCUGAAUGGUUGUGUCCGUAUUGUGUAGAGGAGUGUAAAAUCUCAGACAUGUCUUACAGCUUCUUGGAGAACCACGCUUCUAAACUUAAUCUAGAAACUGAAGACUGGCAUACAUCUAUCCAUACAGAUCCAGGAAGCAAUGCUACUCCAGAACGAUCCUCUGAGAAAGAAACUAUCUCUGUCGAAGACGUUGAACCCGAGGUUAAACAGGAACCGCAGGGAGAAUUUACCUUUCAAAAGGAUAGUUUUAACACCCAGGAAAGAAGUAUUCUAUCCAACCCUACAUACCAUUUAUCUGAUACGGAGGAGUUUGUUGUAAAACCUGGAAAGAAUUGGCGACGAUCUCUGUCAACCAACAUAUCACGAGGAUUAAAUCUAUCUCAGUCUAGACGUACAACCAUGACUUCUUUUAAUUAUUCUGCGCUUCAUACUAAUCUUGAACCUACUAAAACAGACUUCACUAUCCCAGCAAUUCCAACAGGGGGAAGGAAAUCUAAGCGGUCUACUAGUAGAUCAACCAUACUUCAGAUUCGUAAAUCCACAGCACCGCAAACCUUAUUAGAGGAAGAUGAGGACGAGGAUACUGGAGAAACUAUGUCGGACUAUAAUACAAUACUUUCAUCUAGAAAGGUUCGAUCUAGUUUUUAUAUUGUUCAUGACGAAUCCAAGGAUAAAGAUAAGUCAGAGCUACCCGACAGCUCAGUUCUCCUUAAACCUGACCUAACGGAUAUAGAGAAGCUGUUGAGCAAGUGUUCAAAGAUAAACGUUGUUGAGUUUGGAGAUGUAUACGGUGAAGAUUGUAUGGCAGCUUCCAAGAAGGUUGGAGAAGGAGCUUUUGGUGAAGUUUAUCUAAUCGGAGCCAGCUCCGGUGAGAAUCCUGUUCUCAAGGUUGUUCCUAUCGGUGGAACUGUGAAGGUGAAUGACGAGGAGCAAACCAGUUUAUCGGAUAUGAUGUCAGAGGUUGUAAUUUCAACUUCUUUAUCCAAUCUUCGUUUCGGCAAACUAAACAAAACUUCAGGUUUUGUUGAGGUUCGGAACUGUAUUGUAUUUAAGGGUGAGUAUCCACCAAAGUUGCUCCAACUAUGGGAUGAUUUUGACGCAGAGAAAACCUCGGAGAACAUCCGUCCUGACUACCUACCUGUAGAUCAGCUAUACGUGAGCCUGGAGUUUAACAACGGAGGACGUGACCUGGAGAAAUAUGAGUUCAAAAACGCGACACAAGCUCUCUCCGCAUGGGUUCAAGUUGUUCACACAUUGGCAGUAGCAGAGGAGGCGCUCAACUUCGAGCACAGAGAUCUUCAUUGGGGGAAUAUUCUUAUUAAAGAAAGUGGAAACAAAACUGUGACAUUUUUUCUGGAUGGUGAUCAGUAUACGGUGGAAACAGGAGGAGUGGAAACUACGAUUAUAGACUUCUCUCUCUCUAGGCUCACCAGCGAGGAAGAUAAAUGUACAAUUUUUAACAAUUUGGCAACGGAUCCAACUCUUUUCUCCGCCAUAGGUCAGGACCGAGGCGGGGAUUAUCAGUUUGAUAUCUACCGGAAGAUGAGAACGGAGAACAGAAAUAACUGGGAAGAAUUUAAUCCAAAAACAAAUAUAUUCUGGCUCCAUUAUAUCCUGGAGAAGAUGAUAACUGAAGUCUAUUACAAGGGUAAAAAGAACUCUAAACCUCAUAAGAGUGGUUUAGCUCGUCUCAGGAUCAUGAAACAAAACCUUCUCGAGUUCUCUUCAGCUAGAGAUUGGGUUAGGAGAGAAGGAACGAGAGAAGCAUAGAAACCUGGAGAUUUUUUUAAUAUAACAGUCAUCGUUUGUUUUUAUGAAAAUGCAGGGCAUGGUCACCUAAUCAACUUCUAAUCAACUUGUAUGUAUUAUUUGUCAAACUAUAACGUUCCAUUGUACCAUUUAAAUAUGUAAUUUAUGAACAGAAAUUAUAUUUUAAUAUUAUUCUUCCA